rnacentral:rRNA from 1 species
CCUGAGAAACCUAAAAGUUCGAAAGGAGAGAUUCAACGCCAGCAUGUAUUGUAUUCACGUGAGUAGUGAUGCGAGUUUUUAGUAAAGGGGUUAAACCUUUUGCUAAUACUCGCACAUUUUCAUGUUAUUUUAUUGCAAUACUAUUGCCGGCGUGCACUUCUCUUCUAGUAGAACGUCCCGACCCGUUGAGGCUUGGUCUACGGCACAGAUGGUAGCCUUUAAUACUUUGUAUUAAAGACCUCUGAUGUUCUCCUGGCUAAAGUACUCGACGGUAUAAAGUUUAAUGAUAUGGUAUUAAGCCGCAAAUUUAAUUUGUGCGUCUGGCCUGCCGCAAGUUUAUUGACACAUUCUGUAUUAUCAUAGACCUAGUGCUAUGUAUAUGGUUGUGUUGGCUGUUUGCAUGACAGUGCUCUUAGACUGGCUUUUAUACCUGUCGGGGACGCUUAGGCUUUGGGUACUCUCAGGACCCGUCUUGAAACACGGACCAAGGAGUCUAACAUGUACGCGAGUCAUUGGGUAUAUAUUUUUCUUCGGAAAUUUAUAUAAAACAAACCUAAAGGCGAAAUGAAAGUAAAGGUUAAACUUCUCGUUUAACUUAGGGAUGAUGAGUUAUUAAUUUAUCUCCGCAAUCCCAGGGCGUCUUAAUCUCAUUGAGAUGU